GACGAACGCUGGCGGCGUGCCUAAUACAUGCAAGUCGAACGCUUUUUCUUUCACCGGAGCUUGCUCCAUCGAAAGAAAAAGAGUGGCGAACGGGUGAGUAACACGUGGGUAACCUGCCCAUCAGAAGGGGAUAACACUUGGAAACAGGUGCUAAUACCGUAUAACACUAUUUUCCGCAUGGAAGAAAGUUGAAAGGCGCUUUUGCGUCACUGAUGGAUGGACCCGCGGUGCAUUAGCUAGUUGGUGAGGUAACGGCUCACCAAGGCAACGAUGCAUAGCCGACCUGGGAGGGUGAUCGGCCACACUGGGACUGGAACACGGCCCAGACUCCUACGGGAGGCAGCAGUAGGGAAUCUUCGGCAAUGGACGAAAGUCUGACCGAGCAACGCCGCGUGAGUGAAGAAGGUUUUCGGAUCGUAAAACUCUGUUGUUAGAGAAGAACAAGGAUGAGAGUAAAAUGUUCAUCCCUUGACGGUAUCUAACCAGAAAGCCACGGCUAACUACGUGCCAGCCGCCGCCGUAA
rnacentral:rRNA from 1 species